CUGGUCUUUCCUUGAAAAUGCUCUGCCUUCUUUGCUUGAAUGAAGAGGUAUUUAUAGAGGGCUGUGUCCUAGACGAGUGGCUGAAAUCAGUAGCUUGCUGAUGAAGGAAAGUGUGGGAUUGGUGGAAGGAAGUUGUGGUCGAAAAUGGAUAGCUUGCUGGAGAAGGAUUCUUCAGGAUAAGAAGAUGGUACGAAGAGGGGACAUGUCAUGUCGAAGAAGGAGACGUGGCGAGCUCUGGUAUGCUGAUGGCUGAUGAAGUGAUGGAGGAAUCUUGCAUAGUGGAGAUUCGUGCGAUCGUCAGUAGGUAAGUUUCGUUUGUGCGGGAGAAGAAAGAAAGGGAGCCGUUGAUAUGUGCUGAUGUGACCCCAAAUUGGUCACAUCGGUGAGGAGCAUCUUUGCGAAGGGGCAAUGUCGCUUUAUGAUUUGUCCUUUAUGCGGCGUGGAUUUGUCUUCAUAUGAAAAUGGAAUCUUUCCUAUGCAAUGUCGUGUCUCUAUUUUGUCUUAUUUGGAAAAGGGAAUAUUUUAUCUUUCUUUAUGUUGUAGCAGUCAUAUCAGUGCUGAAGAAGGGAAUCGAACUGUUGGGUCGGGUCAUGAGUCUGUUGGCCUCUAGCUGAAAUCAUCCAAUAGGGGAUUUCCUGAUUGGACAGUUUCUUCUGAAGUUGCUGGCAUAGUUGUAUUGGGAGCAAAAACAUGGAGUAAUGUUUGCUCUAUUUCGUCAAAAGUGGCAUUGGGAUGUGAUUGUUUCAGCUUUUUGAGAUAGGCUG
rnacentral:lncRNA from 1 species